UGUAGGCAUAUAUAUCUAGUUUUAUCUCUUGUGGCUUGUUUAUUUAUAUUUACUACUGGUUUUUGUGUGCUGGAUCUUCAUACUUAAACUUAAAUAAAUAUGGCAGUGUGCAUCGCAAUGAUGCAGAGGCUAGGGGUUAUCCUCCAUUUCUAAAAAAAAUGUGAACACUUACUUGAUGCUUGGAAUUAGUGUAGUGUAUGUGUUAGGACUUAGGACCACUACUGUGCCUAGCUAGGUAGAAUUGUUAGGCAGCUCGCACGUGUUCUUAUUCGAACUUGCAGUUGUCGUCUUAUCAAUGUGGAUAGCAGCUUCCUUCAUUUUUGUGGUGGCAAAAAGAUGGAGAAAAGUCGAGGUGCAACUGAGGAUCAAACGGCAAGCUCGCGUGCCAGCCUUUCGUCAAGUCUUCAAACUGGAAAGAAAAAUAAGGACCUAACUGGCCAGCGUUCUUCAUUCCUAACAGGUGCGUUCAUCUCCUUAACUCAUUUCUGUUUGCUCCCUGCUGCUCCUGUUCCAUUUUGGCUACCAAAAUAUACUCCAUCACUUUCUUGCCUCACCUCUUCCUAUACACAUUGAUUAGUGUGUAUAUGUCAAGAACAAUCUCUGUAUCUUGUUUAAUGUGCUAAAAUCUCUUGGUGACAGUUCAAGUGUGUGCUUCCUAGACUGCAUACCUACUUACAAAGGCUAAAUGUCCAGCAGGUACGUAUUCCCUUGCUACCAACUUAUGCAAGCCUGCUGUCUAUCUCAAGCAAACUAAUUUUUCCAUGCAUCUACUUCUCACUAACAACAUAUACUAGGAUGGAGGACCAAAGUGUGCUACAGCGUAUACUUGAUGGAGACGAGAAACCGACGGCUCUGCCAUUUGCACUGCUAGAGCAGAUCACGGGUAAUUUCCGUGAAGAGCAAAAAAUUGGGCACGGUGGAUUUGGAGAGGUCUACAAGGUAUAGUUUUACCAUUUUAGAUAUUACAUAAAGGUCUCAAGUCCAGUCAAAUAUCACUCUUGUUUCCCUUGCCGAAUCGCCUUACUGUCACUUGAUGGAGGAUAUAAAGAGGCUCAUGUUGGAGCGGGAGUUUGUUUUAGUUAAGAUAGGCCGUUCCCGUAAUAGGGUUUCUCACUGUCUAACUAAUUAUGCUCGCACAGGUCGGAGUACCGCUUGUUGGUUACAGUGAAUCCCCCUUUUAUUCAGAAUCUUGUUUUAGCAUAUUAUAACCCUAUUGCCAUGGAAUAAAAGUAUAAAACUCUCUUUUUGUUCAAGAAUAACUACAACCAAACCAAUGGAAGCAGAACAUAUUAUCCUGCACAAUUAUUUUAUUGCUGCCGAGCGAUCACACGGAGCAGCGCAGCGAGUGACAGACAAGGGCCGAGGCCCACUUACACAUAAUGCGUCCAACCUGUUUUGGGAACCUUCAAGAAGGUUCCCUGAACAGGGUUUUUUACUGUAUCGUUUUUUCUUGUUCUUUUUCAGCCUUCUAUUGUUUUUUAUUUCUCUUUUUUUCGUUUCUGUUUCUUUUUCAUUUUUCAUUUUUUGUUUCAUUUUCCUUUUCAAGUUUAUUUUUCUUUUUAGAACAUGUUCACAGUUUUAUAAAAUGUUUAGUAUUUUCUUUUUUAUUUCUUCUUUAUUUUCCUUUUUUUCAAAAAAAAUCGAAAAAUUCAAAUUUUGUUCGUGUUUUGGAAAAAUAUUCAGUUUUUGAAAAAAUGUUCUCAAUAUUCAAAAAAAUUCUUGUUACACCAAAAAGUUCAAUACUUUCAAAAUUCAGAAUAUGUACCAGAUUUCAAUUUUUUCACAUAUACAAAAAAAGUUCGCCCUUUCAAAUUUGUUCGGUAUUUUUCAAAAUUGUUCCCUCUUUCAAAAUAUAUUCUCAAGAUUCAAAAAAUAUUCGUGCUUUCAAAAAUUAUUUGCGCUUCCAAAUUUGUUUGGGUUUUUGUCAAAAUUGUUCUCCGUUUCAAAUUUUGUUCGCACGAUUCAAAAAAUGUUCGUGCUUCAAAAAAUAGUCCACGCUUCCAAAUUUGUUCUAAAGAUUAAAAAAUCGUUUGUGCUUUAAUAAAUUGUUCACAAAUUCCAAAAAUGUUCAUGUUUUCGAAAGAUAUUUGGUAAUUCAAAAUUUGUUCAUUUUCAUUAAAUACGUUCACAUAUUCGAAAAAUGUUCUUGUUUAACAAAAAUCACAAAUUCAAAAAAUUACUCUUAGUUUUCGGAAAUUUAGUUCCCAAAUUGGAAAAGUAUUAAACAUUCAAAAAAUGUUCAGAAAUUUCGUAAAAUGUUCACAGUUUACAAAUGUGGUUAUAAAUUUUAAAUAUAAUCAAGAAUCUUAAAAAAUGUUUGUGGUUUCAAUUUUUUGUUUAGAAUUUCAUAAAAUAUUUCAUAAAAUGCUCAAGGUUUCAAAUUUUGCUCGGACUACAAAAAUUAUUCACAUUUUUUCAAAAAAAAUGUCCCUAUGUCCGUGUUCCUUUUUCUUGUUUUCUUUUCUUUCUAAUUAUCUGUUAGUUUUCCUUUUCACAAUUAUUUCUUUAGUUAACAAAUUUUCUGGGAUUUGAAAAUGUUCGUAUUUCUUAAAAUUUGUUCAUUUUUCCAGAUUUUGUUCCGGUUUUCAAAUUUUCAUCAGAAAUUCCAUAAA
rnacentral:lncRNA from 1 species